AUCCACAUCAAGUCCAUCUCUCAAAGCUAAGAUCGCCGACGAGAAUCACUCGACUCUUCGAUUUCUUCGUUUCAUCUAUCUGUAAAUAGACGCUAUACUACCACUCUUGAUCUUGAUUAUUCAAUGGUGUUCUUUACUCAUUUCUUCAUGGCUUCUACUUAACUACCUUCAUCGAAUCUUGAUUAUUCAAUAGUGUUCUUUACUCAUUUCUUCAUGGCUUCUAUUUAAAGACCUUCAUCGAAUUUUACAUUCAACCAAAAUCCUUAUCUAUGUCUCUUCGCAUCUACAAAAACAAGUUGUUCAUAUUUCUAAUUGUUUUGAAAUCCGCGGGGCUGUUUAAUCCAUAUUGGUGUGUUUUCUCUGAUCCCGAAAUCGCGUCUGACUCACUGGCGCUCGAAUUAUGGUGUGAUCUGCGGUAACAACUAAUGGAAAGGCUGAAAAGAUGGCUACAUGUUUGCUUGAUCCUUUUCUUGAGACAUCAGAAGAUCAAAUUGCUAAAGAUAGUAACAGUGCCUCUUGGUUCACUAAAGGAACAAUUCAAAGGUUUGUUCGAAUUCUGAGCAAUCCGGGUGUCCUUAGAACGUGUUUACAGUUUAAAGAGGCAUUAACUGUUGUUGUAUAAGCAGGUGAAAAAGCACUAUCUAAGAGCAGAAAGUACGAAAGUUUAGCCAAUAUUUGAGAAUGUGAAUCAUGUAGAAAGGCAUUGGUACAGCUCAACGGGGAGAUCCUUUACGAGGUUACGUAGAAGCAAAAUGGUUUCUAUAAUUAAAAGGAUUUUCUUCUCAUAAUUUUCUCUCCGGAGAAAACAAUUAAUUCCAUCUUCUUCUAUUUUUGACAUCCUGAUUCACACAUGUAGCAAGCAAAUUGUUCUACCGUAUCUCAUGAAAAGGUUCAAGUCAUGAUAGUUCUGAAGACAAGGAGUAUGGUGUUGCAGAAAGAACAAGAACAAAGACAGAUGAAUCUUGAUACUUUCAGAGCGAAAUAGAGCGAAAAGAUGCUAUAAGAAAUCAGGAUAAGAGUUAUGGAACAAGUAAGAAGAUGAUCAAGAGAUUAGAGAAAAUACAGUGUUCAAAAAAGAGAGAGAAAAAGCUAAGAAGAUCAGGAACAGUCUUACCAAACAUGGUCAUAGUUAUCACCACGAUCAUGAUCAUGAAGAAGAAUAUGAUGAGCAAAAACCAAAAUGGCACAGUGAGCCAGUGUAUACACAAGCGGUGUAGCAGGUCAACCUGAGACACCGAGUCCUCCCGGAGAAACUAAUUUUUGGCAAUGGA